GGUGUAUUUGCACCAGGGAAGCUCUUAUUCUUCUAUCUAUUCUGUCUUUAGUUGCCCAUAUUUUAGGAUUAUUUCUGUCUCUAUGAGGGGGAGUCAGUGUGCCUGACCUGGGUGCGUAUUCAUUACAGUCCUUAAACAACAUAAAAUGUCUCUCCCCAGGAGAACUGGAACUUCAGGCUCAAUUAAAAGGAAUGAGUGAGGAGAAAGCUGUCUCAGUUAUAGCCUGAGGGUUGUGAGAAAUAGUGAGUUAGCUCCUUUCACUGAAGUAUGGUGGCUGGAAGGAAGGCCAGGGCUGAAAAGCAGGACUGAGAGACACACCAGUGUCCAGCAAAAGGCUGGUUUCUUUUCCCUCUACAGUUAUGAUUGCUCAGGGCUUCUCCAAGGAGAUGACAGACUGGCCAGAGGAAGCAGGCAGAGGGCCUUGGAUCCUUCAGUCUUGCUGGACCGGCUGGGAAAUGGGUCUGACCCUCAGGUCCUUCACCUCGAGCUGCAGUCCAGCUCCAGUGGUCACCUUUGCCAUCAAGGCACAGCUGGGGACCUCUUACUGCAGUCCCUGCUAAGGUGGCCUCCUAAGGUUUCCCACAGUGGUGGAAGAGGGGAAGAACCUGGAAUCCCACUGCAGAAAGAUUCCAAGCACCACAAAACCCAGGAAUAUUUAUUUGUGAAGCAGCAGGAGAACCUCAGCCAGAUGACACAACUGUAUUGAUUCGUCCUGAGAUAACACUCACAGAGAUGGAAGACUUGGCAAUGUUCACGCCACCUCCCGCCAUUGUGGCAGACCAGCACGGUAUCAGAAAGCGAGUUCUGAAACUAGAAUUGGGCUGAAGGAAGUGAGGAGAAUCAUGUUGAAUGACAUUUCGCUAGGUAACACGGUGACAUAUUCAGCUACAGUAGGAUGGUAUUUCUGAUGUAACAGAAAAAAAAUUGAAACUAGUAUUUAUAAAACCACAUGCUUAUUUGAAAAAGAGUUAAGUUGCCAUUGAAAUUUGUCAUAUUUGAAGUGAAGUGCUGGAACUCUGUAUCUCUGAGAAGAUAUUUUAGCUUCAUACUUAUUGUUUGCAUCACACAGAUUUUUUUAUAUACACCCCUUCCAACCAGUACACAGCACUGGCAUGAAGAACCUUGUUGAUAUUUUCAACUAAACAUCAACUGUGAUACACGCAGCUCAAUUCUUAAGAGAUAAUCUGUUUUUCACAUUACCAAGAAAUUAAGUUUCUUUAACAUCUAAAAUAAGUUUUCAAGUUCUUCUAAAAAGGUUCCUUUUAGUCCUGAUAUUUAUCCAGGUACCAAUAAAUAAUAAAUUAUAGCUGUUACUGACAAAUUAAUUUGUUUUCUCUUUUAUAAUAUACUUUCUAAAUUAUAUAUUCAAAUAUUUUUGGUACUAGGGAUUAAACCCAAAACCUUUGCACUGGGCUACAUUCUCAGUCUUUUUAAGAAAAUUCAUUUUUGGUAGGGUUAGGGUUUUUUGAGACAGAAUGUCAUUAAAUUGCUAAGUUAUUCAGACUAGGUUGAAGUUAGUCAAGCUGGGCUGGACCCUGUCCUUCUGCCUCAGGCUCUCAAGUACGAAGGAUUAUAGCCACUCCUGGCUUAAAAUAAUUUUUAAACUAAAAAUUCAAAAAGUUGUAUAUUAUGUAGGAAGUAAAGUGAGAAAGUUUUAUUUUGCAAAGUUUAGUGCAAAGGCUAAAUUAGGUGUCAUUUGAUGACUGUUCUUCCUUUCCGCUCAGCAGAGGAACUCUUGCACACCUUCUGUUUCCUCCUUACAUUUCCUGUGUUGACAACUCAUCCCACUUUGCCUAAGAAACACCUGUAACUGCUAUGCUCUUCCAGCAGUACAUUUGUGAGUAUCUGAUGAUGCAAUCGAGAGGUUAAAACGAAUCUUCAAAACCUACGAUAUUUUAAGAAGAUAAACUGUGUCUCCACACUUCCCCAUGAUGAAAGUGUAAAUUUCCAUCCCAGCCCUGAAGAGGAGAAUUCAGUACUAUGAGCUCUUUGGACCACCACUUGGCUAAAUUUCCCUCUGGACAUUUCCUAGCUUUGGUUCUACACCUUCUGUACACUGAAGUGUUUCUACCCACAUUGAAGCGGGUAGACUAGUUCCCCUCCCCAAUCUGGUAAUAAACUCAUUUUCCAUUUUUAUGGCUUUUCUCAUAUGUGGUUGUGGGCAGGUGAAUGAACAUGGUAAC
ensembl:lincRNA